rnacentral:rRNA from 1 species
UACGUAGGGUGCAGGCGUUAAUCGGAAUUACUGGGCGUAAAGCGUGCGCAGGCGGUCUUUUAAGUCAGAUGUGAAAUCCCCGGGCUUAACCUGGGAACUGCGUUUGAAACUGGAAGGCUUGAGUGUGGCAGAGGGGGGUGGAAUUCCACGUGUAGCAGUGAAAUGCGUAGAGAUGUGGAGGAACACCGAUGGCGAAGGCAGCCCCCCUGGGCUAACACUGACGCUCAUGCACGAAAGCGUGGGGAGCAAACAGG